CUUACUAAACUACCCAAUUUCCCCACAAACUCAACUUUAAGUUUUUUUCCGAAUGAGUUUUAAAAUCUAAAUAACACUAAAUAAGAAUUUGAGACGGUUAUUCAUGAUAAAACUGUCACUAUUCACUAUCUUCAUAUACCAUUGUCUUCUCUUGUCAUUGCUGCCAGACACUAAGAGAAAUAUUAUGAAAUUCUCUUACAGAUGAAAUUGAAUAAUGAAACAGAGUAUCAUAAUCCGAUUAGACUUGGCACUAAAUCAGUGAACAAUUUCAACAUGUGUAUUGUUGAUGAGGAUAAUGAAACAGAUGUUAGUUUUGUUAUGAUGAUAUAUUGAGGGAAUACAAUGAUAGUUAUAUAUUGAGAGUUGAGGGAAUACGAUCGACAGUUUGUAAAUGUUUCAACUUAAUCAUUUACUGGCCUAAUUCCUUUGAUCAACUAUCAUAGUAUUCAAUGAUUCCUGUUU